rnacentral:rRNA from 1 species
CACGUAGGGCGCGAGCGUUGUCCGGAAUUAUUGGGCGUAAAGAGCUCGUAGGCGGUGUGUCGCGUCGGCCGUGAAAACCUGCAGCUUAACUGUGGGCUUGCGGUCGAUACGGGCAUCACUGGAGUUCGGCAGGGGAGACUGGAAUUCCUGGUGUAGCGGUGAAAUGCGCUGAUAUCAGGAGGAACACCGGUGGCGAAGGCGGGUCUCUGGGCCGAUACUGACGCUGAGGAGCGAAAGCGUGGGGAGCGAACAGG